rnacentral:rRNA from 1 species
AUUGAACGCUGGCGGCAGGCCUAACACAUGCAAGUCGAGCGGAUGAAGGGAGCUUGUUCCUGGAUUCAGCGGCGGACGGGUGAGUAAGGCCUAGGAAUCUGCCUGGUAUUGGGGGAUAACGUCCGGAAACAGGCGCUAAUACCGCAUACGUCCUGAUGGUGAAAGUGGGGGAUCUUCGGACCUCACGCGAUCAGAUGAGCCUAGGUCGGAUUAGCUAGUUGGUGGGGUAAAGGCCUACCAAGGCGACGAUCCGUAACUGGUCUGAGAGGAUGAUCAGUCACACUGGAACUGAGACACGGUCCAGACUCCUACGGGAGGCAGCAGUGGGGAAUAUUGGACAAUGGGCGAAAGCCUGCUCCAGCCAUGCCGCGUGUGUGAAGAAGGUCUUCGGAUUGUAAAGCACUUUAAGUUGGGAGGAAGGGCAGUAAGUUAAUACCUUGCUGUUUUGACGUUACCAACAGAAUAAGCACCGGCUAACUUCGUG